rnacentral:rRNA from 1 species
UACGUAGGGUGCGAGCGUUGUCCGGAUUUAUUGGGCGUAAAGGGCUCGUAGGCGGCCUGUCGCGUCGGGAGUGAAAGCCCACUGCUUAACGGUGGGUCUGCUUCCGGUACGGGCGGGCUGGAGUAUGGCAGGGGAGACUGGAAUUCCUGGUGUAGCGGUGAAAUGCGCAGAUAUCAGGAAGAACACCCGUGGCGAAGGCGGCUCUCUGGAACGCAACUGACGCUGAGACGCGAAAGCGUGGGGAGCAAAUAGG